UGAGGAAUAUUGGUCAAUGGACGGGAGUCUGAACCAGCCAAGUAGCGUGCAGGACGACGGCCCUAUGGGUUGUAAACUGCUUUUAUAGGGGGAUAAAGUGUGCCACGUGUGGCAUAUUGCAGGUACCCUAUGAAUAAGGACCGGCUAAUUCCAUGCCAGCAGCCGCGGUAAUACGGAAGGUCCGGGCGUUAUCCGGAUUUAUUGGGUUUAAAGGGAGCGUAGGCCGUCUUAUAAGCGUGUUGUGAAAUGUCGUGGCUCAACCUGGGCAUUGCAGCGCGAACUGUGAGACUGGAGUGCGCAGGAAGUAGGUGGAAUUCGUGGUGUAGCGGUGAAAUGCUUAGAUAUGACGAAGAACUCCGAUUGCGAAGGCAGCCUGCUGUAGCGCAACGGACGCUGAAGCUCGAAAGCGUGGUAUCGAACA
rnacentral:rRNA from 1 species